AGGAUCAUUACACAAAUAUGAAGGCGGGCUGGAACCUCUCGGGGUUACAGCCUUGCUGAAUUAUUCACCCUUGUCUUUUGCGUACUUCUUGUUUCCUUGGUGGGUUCGCCCACCACUAGGACAAACAUAAACCUUUUGUAAUUGCAAUCAGCGUCAGUAACAAAUUAAUAAUUACAACUUUCAACAACGGAUCUCUUGGUUCUGGCAUCGAUGAAGAACGCAGCGAAAUGCGAUAAGUAGUGUGAAUUGCAGAAUUCAGUGAAUCAUCGAAUCUUUGAACGCACAUUGCGCCCUUUGGUAUUCCAAAGGGCAUGCCUGUUCGAGCGUCAUUUGUACCCUCAAGCUUUGCUUGGUGUUGGGCGUCUUGUCUCUAGCUUUGCUGGAGACUCGCCUUAAAGUAAUUGGCAGCCGGCCUACUGGUUUCGGAGCGCAGCACAAGUCGCACUCUCUAUCAGCAAAGGUCUAGCAUCCAUUAAGCCUUUUUUUCAACUUUUGACCUCGGAUCAGGUAGGGAUACCCGCUGAACUUAAGCAUAUCAAUAAGCGGGAGGAA
rnacentral:rRNA from 1 species